GUGGCUCCUGUUGGGAGGUUGGGCCCAAAGCAAGGUUACACUUUGGGAGGAAGGAUCCGGGUAAGGGGGUACAUGGAGGAAGCCCCACGCCCAGACCCCAUCACCUUUGGGUGCGGGGCUCGAGCCUGUGGCGGCAGGAGAGCCAAUUUCUCCCUGAGCGCGGCAUUCAGAACCUGUUCCUCCGGCACCUGCAGGCUCACCAGGUCCCGGAAGAGCCGCUUGGAGCGCGGCACGUUCAGCCCUGAGAGCGCAGCGGGGACGGAGGAAGUGCUGUGGAACAUCAGAUAGAAUGGAUAGCACAGCCCAAAUUUUACAAAAAGGAUUUUAAAGGAAGAUCUCAAUGGUGGAACACUAGAGGCUUUCCUGCUAAAGUUAAGAACAAGCAAAGGCUGACGCAGUUUUGGCAUGCAGGAAGUGUUGGAGCUGAGACUCGAAACUGUCCCCCAGGCCUUGGCCAUGCUGAUAAAUAUCUAGGCCCUACAGGAGUUCGUGUCCAUGAACCCAGUAAACGCAAUUCCUCAGCCUUAAAAUCUAGUCACUGACUCAUUUCAGGCCCCAGCACAGACGAAAACAAGCCAUUCUGUUUGCCCAGUUUACAUUGCGGGUCUCCAAGAAGUGGAAUGUUCACCAAUGAUUUUAAGAAAACAGGGCCUGGCGCGGUGGCUCACGCCUGUAAUCCCAGCACUUUGGGAGGCCGAGGCAGGCAGAUCACCUGAGGU
rnacentral:lncRNA from 1 species